UUUUUCUAACUCACGUGCUCUUCCCCUCUCUCUCUCUCUCUCCCUCACCCGAUCGACCAGCUGCUGCUCCUUAUCUCUUCCCCCCCCCCCCCCUCUCUCAACCUUAUCUCUGGGUGAUGGCUGUGGCUUCGGGGCUGAUGGCUGCGUGAAGGUUUGAUUGGGUUUCUGGUGGGUUGGUGGGCGAGGAGGUUGGAUCUUGGCGGGGUUCCAAGAAGCCGGAUUGCGCCGCUGCUAGGGCUGCUGGGACUGGGAAGGAAUUGCUGUUGCGAUUUCCAAUGGAAGCACUCAGAGCUGUGUGUUUCUUGGUGCGGUGAUCAACGAUGGCCAACCACAAGCUGGUCCUCGGACAUGGGCAGAACCCAGAGCUGGUGCUGGGGCAGAAUCACCACAACUUCAAGCAGGACCAUUGGCUGGGCCUAGGGCAUAGCCAUGACUGGGAGAGUGCGUGCGGGCUAGCGGUCUAGCGGCCGCUAGCGAGCACCAUGGCGGGCGUGCGGAUGCAUGGAGCCGGCUUGUUUAUUUUUUUUUGGAUUUUUUUUUGGAGGAAGCAUCACUGCCAGUUGGAGCCAUGAACCGGUAGCGAUGCCUAUUUUCAGUGCCGAUUUCAGACUUGACACUGAUAGUCACUGAUGACAAGUAAUCAGUGAUGGUUCAAUACCCAUCAUCAUGGUGAUUUUGAACCGCCACUGAUGACAUGUUCUGUAGUAGUGGAUAGAUCAUCUUGAAGGCUCAACUAGUGUAUUUAAAAAUUAAAGAGAAAAAUAUCAAUGCAAGAUAGAAAUAUAUAUAACACCUCAGUGUACAUUUUUUAAGAUAGAUCGUCUAAAAAAAACCUAUUGGUAUAUUUAUGGAUGGACAAGAAAUAAAUAUUAAUGCGAUGCAGAACAAAAUGCAUUAGAUAUGCACUCCUAUUAAUUGGGAUAGAUUGCCUCAAAGGCUCAACUAGUGUAUUUACACAUCACAAAAGUAAAAACAUUAAUGCAAGAUAGGACAACAAGGUACUUGAAAUAUCAUCGACUAAUAUAUUUAUUGAUCAAGAAAAAUAUUAGUAUGGUAUAAAACAUAAUACAUUAGAUCUGAUUAUAAAUUGAGAUAGAUAUGAUGAUCUCAAGCCCAACUAGUGUAUUUAUGAACCAAGAAGGCAAACAUUGAUGCAAGAUAGAAUAAAAAGAUGCUAGGUGUACCUAUUAACUGAGAUUGAUCAUACGAAGACUCAAGUGCAACUAGAAUAUUUAUGAGAUGAGAGAAAAAUAUCAACAACAGAUAGAGUAAGAAGGCUCUAUAUGUGAGAUAUGUAAUAUAUAUGAAGCCUCAACUAGUGUAUUUAUGAACGAGGGCAGAAAACAUAUGCAAUAUAGAAUAAAAAGGGCAAAACAUGAUCAUGUAAUAUGAAGCCUCAACUACUGUAUGCAUGAAAGGGGCCAGAUAAGAUAUGCAAUAUAGAACAAAAAAGGCAAAAAAUGAUCAUGUAAUAUGAAGCCUCAACUAGUGGGGGCAGAAAAGAUAUGCAAUAUAGAAGAAAAAGGGCAAAAAAUGAUCAUCCAGGAUUAGCCUGGGCCUCUAUAUAAACACUAGCAAACAGAAACAAUGCUGCAGCAACACAUUGACCUGAAGAAGAACAACAAUACGGUAGAAGGAAAAUACUAUCUACUCGAAUAGCGUCGCCUCAUGGGCCUAACCAAGAACUCAAAAGUUGUGUGCCUGGUUGCUCUGAUUGUCAUGGCUACCAUCAAUUUCUCCUGCAGUCAUGCACGAAGCUCUGGUGAAGAAGUUGAUCGGUGGACGUGCUACGAUGAAGAAGAUGGUUGCGAGAUGGCUGCGUGUGCCAAAAAAUGCAUAAGCGAAUAUGGUUCCAAGAUUGACGGUGUCAAAUGCGAGACAUAUAUUAAACCUCAGCAUUGCUGUUGCCGACUUAAGGAACUACCACCAUAAAGAAAAAAAGAACUACCAGUGCCAUUGUCAAAAAUAAAUAAAAGCGACGGCUGAUAAUGAUGGAUCUUGCUUGA